AGAGUUUGAUCCUGGCUCAGGAUGAACGCUGGCGGCGUGCCUAAUACAUGCAAGUCGAGCGAACGGACGAGAAGCUUGCUUCUCUGAUGUUAGCGGCGGACGGGUGAGUAACACGUGGAUAACCUACCUAUAAGACUGGGAUAACUUCGGGAAACCGGAGCUAAUACCGGAUAAUAUUUUGAACCGCAUGGUUCAAAAGUGAAAGACGGUCUUGCUGUCACUUAUAGAUGGAUCCGCGCUGCAUUAGCUAGUUGGUAAGGUAACGGCUUACCAAGGCAACGAUGCAUAGCCGACCUGAGAGGGUGAUCGGCCACACUGGAACUGAGACACGGUCCAGACUCCUACGGGAGGCAGCAGUAGGGAAUCUUCCGCAAUGGGCGAAAGCCUGACGGAGCAACGCCGCGUGAGUGAUGAAGGUCUUCGGAUCGUAAAACUCUGUUAUUAGGGAAGAACAUAUGUGUAAGUAACUGUGCACAUCUUGACGGUACCUAAUCAGAAAGCCACGGCUAACUACGUGCCAGCAGCCGCGGUAAUACGUAGGUGGCAAGCGUUAUCCGGAAUUAUUGGGCGUAAAGCGCGCGUAGGCGGUUUUUUAAGUCUGAUGUGAAAGCCCACGGCUCAACCGUGGAGGGUCAUUGGAAACUGGAAAACUUGAGUGCAGAAGAGGAAAGUGGAAUUCCAUGUGUAGCGGUGAAAUGCGCAGAGAUAUGGAGGAACACCAGUGGCGAAGGCGACUUUCUGGUCUGUAACUGACGCUGAUGUGCGAAAGCGUGGGGAUCAAACAGGAUUAGAUACCCUGGUAGUCCACGCCGUAAACGAUGAGUGCUAAGUGUUAGGGGUUUCCGCCCCUUAGUGCUGCAGCUAACGCAUUAAGCACUCCGCCUGGGGAGUACGACCGCAAGGUUGAAACUCAAAGGAAUUGACGGGGACCCGCACAAGCGGUGGAGCAUGUGGUUUAAUUCGAAGCAACGCGAAGAACCUUACCAAAUCUUGACAUCCUUUGACAACUCUAGAGAUAGAGCCUUCCCCUUCGGGGGACAAAGUGACAGGUGGUGCAUGGUUGUCGUCAGCUCGUGUCGUGAGAUGUUGGGUUAAGUCCCGCAACGAGCGCAACCCUUAAGCUUAGUUGCCAUCAUUAAGUUGGGCACUCUAAGUUGACUGCCGGUGACAAACCGGAGGAAGGUGGGGAUGACGUCAAAUCAUCAUGCCCCUUAUGAUUUGGGCUACACACGUGCUACAAUGGACAAUACAAAGGGCAGCGAAACCGCGAGGUCAAGCAAAUCCCAUAAAGUUGUUCUCAGUUCGGAUUGUAGUCUGCAACUCGACUACAUGAAGCUGGAAUCGCUAGUAAUCGUAGAUCAGCAUGCUACGGUGAAUACGUUCCCGGGUCUUGUACACACCGCCCGUCACACCACGAGAGUUUGUAACACCCGAAGCCGGUGGAGUAACCUUUUAGGAGCUAGCCGUCGAAGGUGGGACAAAUGAUUGGGGUGAAGUCGUAACAAGGUAGCCGUAUCGGAAGGUGCGGCUGGAUCACCU
rnacentral:rRNA from 2 species